CUAACUAACCAGUCCUAACCCACUUCUUGUUCGCUGUCACUUUCAUCUAGGAAAUUAGCCUCUUUUAGAAGUUCCAACCAUCCCGUCCCGCCAUUGACGAAUCGGCAAUCAUUCAUUUAGUCUAAGUGAAACGGUUACUUUGAUUAGCAAAUGCCACCCGGCAAGAAUGGAUUUGACGUGUGAUUCUAUUUUCAGCCACGUGUUCAACGGCACGGAUCUGCAGGUGAACAAGUCUGUGUUGAGACUGGCAAUAUGGAUGGAACGGAUUUAUUUAUUAGAGGUUGGCAUUAGGGCCGAGAUGUGAGGAUGAACACCGAGCUGGUUGUUGGGACCGAUGGAAGGGAAAUAAGGUGGAGCCACGAGCUGGGUGGUGAGAUAGUCAUGGUGUGAGGAAAAUAGA
rnacentral:sRNA from 1 species